ACGGAUGUAGAAAUUGGUGAU
rnacentral:miRNA from 1 species